rnacentral:lncRNA from 1 species
GUUGUCUGUUGCUCGAUCAAAACCCUAAAUGAGUGUAUCUCAGCCGCCAACGACCUUCUCCGACAACACCGUCGCCGUCGCCGGAGAUGAUAACGAAAAAAAGAACGACAGGAGGUGGUUGAUGGUAAGGUGACGAUGAACAACGGAACGGAGAUGAGAGACGGUGGUCGGAGGAGAUAUACGGUGGUUGAACGGUGAGCCGUAGGUGAUGAUGAAGAGUAACAGGAUGACGGUGAUGAUGAUGAGAGGUUGAAUCGGUGACAGAUGAUGAAAAACGGAGGUGGUUGAUGACGGUAAUGACAGUAGCCGGAGACUAUGAAGGCUGGAGUCAACGACUGUGGUGAUGAUUGAUGAUUUGAUGAAGAUGAGUUGCAGGUUGUCGGUUUUACAGCGGUGAACGGAGGUGAUGACAGAGGUGAACGGUGGUUUACGGUGAAGUGGUGGUGGGUUAUAGUGAUGAUUGCGGUUGAUGAAUGAUGAAGAAGAUAUGAUUUCGGAUGAGAAGAUGGAUGAUUUCGGAUGAGAAGAUGGAUGAUUACGGAUUAAAGUCGACAAUGUCGGAUCAAUGUCGGAUGAAGGCUGGAGUGUUCCGGAUGAAAGUUGUGUGUUGAUUGCGGAUGAAAAUGAAUAUGACGGAUGAUUGCGGAUGAUGAUCUCCGAUGAUGAAGAAUGAUGAGAUGAUUGUACGAGGAUUCCUUGUCUGCUGUUCGAUGAUGACGAUGUACUAAUUGAUGAUAUGUCAGAGGAUGUUUGACAAAAUGAUGUGAUGAUGAGGAAUGAUGAUUCUGAACCUUUCUUUUUUUUUUUUAAUAAUUAUAUAAAACUUUUAACACUUUCCAAC